rnacentral:tRNA from 1 species
GAGGGGAGGGCUCAGUGGUAGAGCACAUGCCUAGCAUGCAUGAAGUCCUGGGCUCUAUCCCCAGUACCAUCA